UACAGAGGUCUCAAGCGUUGUCCGGAUUCAUUGGGCGUAAAGGGUGCGUAGGCGGCGCGGUAAGUCGGGUGUGAAAUCUCGGAGCUUAACUCCGAAACUGCAUUCGAUACUGCCGUGCUUGAGGACUGGAGAGGAGACUGGAAUUUACGGUGUAGCGGUGAAAUGCGCAGAUAUCAGGAGGAACACCGGUGGCGAAGGCGGGUCUCUGGGCCGAUACUGACGCUGAGGAGCGAAAGCGUGGGGGAGCGAACAGG
rnacentral:rRNA from 1 species